UAGGGAAUCUUCGGCAAUGGGGGGAACCCUGACCGAGCAACGCCGCGUGAGUGAAGAAGGUUCUCGGAUCGUAAAGCUCUGUUGUUAAGGAAGAACGAGUGUGAGAAUGGAAAGUUCAUACUGUGACGGUACUUAACCAGAAAGGGACGGCUAACUACGUGCCAGCAGCCGCGGUAAUACGUAGGUCCCGAGCGUUGUCCGGAUUUAUUGGGCGUAAAGCGAGCGCAGGCGGUUAGAUAAGUCUGAAGUUAAAGGCAGUGGCUCAACCAUUGUAGGCUUUGGAAACUGUUUAACUUGAGUGCAGAAGGGGAGAGUGGAAUUCCAUGUGUAGCGGUGAAAUGCGUAGAUAUAUGGAGGAACACCGGUGGCGAAAGCGGCUCUCUGGUCUGUAACUGACGCUGAGGCUCGAAAGCGUGGGGAGCGAACAGG
rnacentral:rRNA from 1 species